rnacentral:piRNA from 1 species
AAACCCUACCACUGUUACUACAGACUAAUGAG